rnacentral:rRNA from 1 species
GUGAGUGGCGAACGGGUGAGUAACACGUGAGGAGCCUGCCCCGAAGUUCGGAAUAACUCAGGGAAACCUGAGCUAAUACCGGAUGCCCUCUGACGAUCGAAUGGUCGACUGAGGAAAGAUUUAUCGCUUCGGGAGGGUCUCGCGGCCUAUCAGCUUGUUGGUGAGGUAACGGCUCACCAAGGCAUUGACGGGUAGCUAGUCUGAGAGGACGAAUAGCCACACUGGGACUGAGACACGGCCCAGACUCCUACGGGAGGCAGCAGUGGGGAAUCUUGCACAAUGGGCGAAAGCCUGAUGCAGCGACGCCGCGUGGGGGAUGAAGGCCCUAGGGUCGUAAACCCCUUUCAGUGGGGACGAAAAUGACGGUACCCACAGAAGAAGGUCCGGCCAACUACGUGCCAGCAGCCGCGGUAAGACGUAGGGACCGAGCGUUGUCCGGAUUUAUUGGGCGUAAAGAGCUCGUAGGCGGUUGCGUAAGUCGGAUGUGAAAACUCAGGGCUNCACCCUGAGACGCCAUCCGAUACUGCGCUGACUUGA